AACGCACAUUGCGCCCCCUGGUAUUCCGGGGGGCAUGCCUGUUCGAGCGUCAUUUCACCACUCAAGCCUCGCUUGGUAUUGGGCGUCGCGAGUCUCUCGCGCGCCUCAAAGUCUCCGGCUGUUUGACCCGUCUCCCAGCGUUGUGGCAACUAUUUCGCAGUGGAGUUCGAGUUGGAUCGGCCGUUAAAUCUUUCAAAGGUUGACCUCGGAUCAGGUAGGGAUACCCGCUGAACUUAA
rnacentral:misc_RNA from 1 species